rnacentral:misc_RNA from 1 species
GAAAUGCGAUAAGUAGUGUGAAUUGCAGAAUUCAGUGAAUCAUCGAAUCUUUGAACGCACAUUGCGCCCUUUGGUAUUCCUUAGGGCAUGCCUGUUCGAGCGUCAUCUAAACCUUCAAGCCCUGCUUGGUGUUGGGUGCCUGUCCCGCCUCCGCGCGCGGACUCACCUCAAAUCCAUUGGCGGCCCCCGCGUCGGCCACGAGCGCAGCAGAAACGCGAACUCGUGAGCCCGUCCGGGCGGCUCCCAGAAGCUACACCCACCCAGUUUGACCUAGGAUCAGGUAGGGAUACCCGCUGAACUUAAGC